GUGGGGAAUAUUGCGCAAUGGAGGCAACUCUGACGCAGCCAUGCCGCGUGCAGGAAGAAGGCGCUACGCGUUGUAAACUGCUUUUAACCGGGAAGAAACCCCAGGACGUGUCCUGGGUUGACGGUACCGGAGGAAUAAGCACCGGCUAACUUCGUGCCAGCAGCCGCGGUAAUACGAAGGGUGCAAGCGUUAUCCGGAUUCAUUGGGUUUAAAGGGUGCGUAGGCGGAGCGUUAAGUCAGUGGUGAAAUCCUGCAGCUUAACUGUAGACUUGCCAUUGAUACUGGCGCUCUUGAGUGCGCUUGAAGUGGGCGGAAUGUGUCGUGUAGCGGUGAAAUGCUUAGAUAUGGCACAGAACACCAAUUGCGAAGGCAGCUCACUAAGGCGAUACUGACGCUGAGGCACGAAAGCGUGGGGAUCGAACAGGAUUAGAAACCCCGGUAGUCC
rnacentral:rRNA from 1 species